AGGAUCGGCAGUGGCAGUUUAACUGCAGGUUCCAAAUCAGAACUUCUGGGAGCAGGGCCUGGCAGUCUGAAUUUUAACAAGCACCGCCCCCUGUGAUGAUUCGGAUGCCACCAGACUGUGAGAGACACUGAACAACAUGACUGUGAGUUCCCUAACACUAUGCCAAGCAAAGGACAAACGAUGCUUGUUGAAGUAGAGACAGAAACGCAAGGGGGGAAGCUAUGCAGCAGGUGAGGCCAAAGCAGCAGCAGCAGCCCUCCUGUGGAAGCCAAGACCGAUCCCUCACCUAAGGCUCAGCAACAUGGACUCCUGCCUUUGUUCUGCUGGAACCAUCCCUCCUACCCUGCAUGAGCAAGAGCUCUCCUUCACACUCAAAACCACUUGGAAAUCACCCGAUGACAGGCCUCCCAGAAGGCACACAGUGAGAGAGAGAGAGAGAGAGGCAGAGACACAGGCAGAAGCAGGCUCCAUGCACCGGGAGCCCGACGUGGGACUCGAUCCCGGGUCUCCAGGACCGCGCCCUGGGCCAAAGGCAGGCGCCAAACCGCUGCGCCACCCAGGGAUCCCUGGUACCAGAUUCUAAAAGAAUUCCAUUCAAUUAAAAUAAAUGGAGAUUGAAAAGAAAAUGUGUAUUAUUAGACUUUCAGAUACUGACAUAGUUGAAGUCAGUCCCUGCCAUUUUGAAACAGCAACAAUACAUGGACUAGUGCCCUCUAUUGAGAUAUUUGUCCAAUUUAUCUAGGUCCAAAUUUUGACUUCAAAAAGCACAGUCAGGAGGGCCAUUAUUUAUAAAUACCAAGUCUCCAAAACUCUAAAACUGCUCUGGUGAUUAUAUAAGUUCUGAGAUUUUGCUCUCUGUUCUCUUUGUCUCCUCUGAAAUCCUUCCUCAGAUACAGAAACCUCCCUGGAACUCAGCCAAAUACCAGAAAGAAUACAAAUAAUAAAUACCACUUCUCAUUUGCAUUAUGCUUUACAGCUUAUAAAUCAGCUCAUAUACAAUGAAGUCAUGUGGACCACAAAUUAUGGGUGAAAUAUAAUCAAACAUCUGUGGUGUUCUAUCUCUUAAAAGGUAUCAGUCAUUAUCAGGGUAUAGGCAGACAUGGGUAUUGCACAAGCCUAUGACAAGCUCAUAAAAUUGUAUGCAAUCUAAUAAAGUUGCCGGUGGGCCUAUCUCUCUGGA